rnacentral:rRNA from 1 species
GAUAAACGCUGGCGGCGUGCUUAACACAUGCCAGUCGAACGAAGUUUUUCCUUCGGGAGAAACUUAGUGGCGGACGGGUGAGUAACGCGUGGGUAACCUGCCCUGUACAGGGGGACAACAGCUGGAAACGGCUGCUAAUACCGCAUAAGCACUUAGCACUGCAUGGUGCAUAGGGAAAAGGAGCAAUCCGGUACAGGAUGGACCCGCGUCUGAUUAGCCAGUUGGCAGGGUAACGGCCUACCAAAGCGACGAUCAGUAGCCGAUCUGAGAGGAUGUACGGCCACAUUGGGACUGAGACACGGCCCAGACUCCUACGGGAGGCAGCAGCGGGGAAUAUUGCACAAUGGAGGAAACUCUGAUGCAGCGACGCCGCGUGAGUGAAGAAGUAUUUCGGUAUGUAAAGCUCUAUCAGCAGGGAAGAAAAUGACGGUACCUGACUAAGAAGCACCGGCUAAAUACGUG